GCGGACGUGGCCAAGUGGAUUAAGGCAGUGGUUUGUGGAGCCACUACGCGCGGGUUCAAUUCCCGUUCGUUCA
rnacentral:tRNA from 1 species